rnacentral:rRNA from 1 species
AGAGUUUGAUCCUGGCUCAGAAUCAACGCUGGCGGCGUGCCUCAGACAUGCAAGUCGACCGCGAAAGUUCCCUUCGGGGAGCAAGUAGAGUGGCGCACGGGUGAGUAACACGUAGGUAAUCUACCUUUGGAUGGGGAAUAACAACCGGAAACGGUUGCUAAUACCGCAUAAUGCAGCGGCACCUAAUGGUGACAGUUGUUAAAGCGGGGGAUCGAAAGACCUCGCGUCUGAAGAGGAGCCUGCGGCGGAUUAGCUAGUUGGUAAGGUAAUGGCUUACCAAGCCGAUGAUCCGUAACCGGCCUGAGAGGGCGGUCGGUCACAGAGACACUGACAUACGGGUCAGACUCCUACGGGAGGCAGCAGUCGGGAAUUUUGGGCAAUGGGCGAAAGCCUGUCCCAGCAACGCCGCGUGAAGGAUGAAAUCCCUCGGGAUUUUUCUUCCAAGAACAGGAAGAAUAAGUAGGGGACAAUACCCCCUAUGAUGACGGUACUGUUGGAGUCCAGUUUU